rnacentral:rRNA from 1 species
CUUGCUUAUUAUAAGCUUAGUGGCGCACGGGUGAGUAAUGUAUAGUUAAUCUGCCCUAUACUGGAGGACAACAACUAGAAAUGGUUGCUAAUACUCCAUACUCCUUCUUAGCAUAAGCUAAGUCGGGAAAGUUUUUCGGUAUAGGAUGAGACUAUAUUGUAUCAGCUAGUUGGUAGGGUAAUGGCUUACCAAGGCUAUGACGCAUAACUGGUCUGAGAGGAUGAUCAGUCACACUGGAACUGAGACACGGUCCAGACUCCUACGGGAGGCAGCAGUAAGGAAUAUUGCUCAAUGGGGGAAACCCUGAAGCAGCAACGCCGCGUGGAGGAUGACACUUUAGGAGCGUAAACUCCUUUUGUUGGGGAAGAACAAUGACGGUACCCAACGAAUAAGCACCGGCUAACUCCGUGCCAGCAGCCGCGGUAAUACGGAGGGUGCAAGCAUUACUCGGAAUCACUGGGCGUAAAGGACGCGUAGGCGGAUUAUCAAGUCUUUUGUGAAAUCUAAUGGCUUAACCAUUAAACUGCUUGAGAAACUGAUAAUCUAGAGUAGGGGAGAGGUAGAUGGAACUGGUGGUGUAGGGGUAAAAUCCGUAGAUAUCACCAAGAAUACCCAUUGCGAAGGCGAUCUACUAGAACUUAACUGACGCUAAUGCGUGAAAGCGUGGGGAGCAAACAGGAUUAGAUACCCUGGUAGUCCAUGCCCUAAACGAUGUAUACUAGUUGUUGCUGUGCUAGUCAUGGCAGUAAUGCACCUAACGGAUUAAGUAUACCGCCUGGGGAGUACGGUCGCAAGAUUAAAACUCAAAGGAAUAGACGGGGACCCGCACAAGCGGUGGAGCAUGUGGUUUAAUUCGAAGAUACGCGAAGAACCUUACCUGGACUUGAUAUCCAACAAAUUCUUUAGAGAUAGAGAAGUGCUUGCUUGCAAGAAUGUUGAGACAGGUGCUGCACGGCUGUCGUCAGCUCGUGUCGUGAGAUGUUGGGUUAAGUCCCGCAACGAGCGCAACCCACGUGUUUAGUUGCUAACAGCUAGGCUGAGCACUCUAAACAGACUGCCUUCGCAAGGAGGAGGAAGGUGUGGACGACGUCAAGUCAUCAUGGCCCUUAUGUCCAGGGCGACACACGUGCUACAAUGGCAUAUACAAUGAGAAGCAAUAUCGCAAGAUGGAGCAAAUCUAUAAAAUAUGUCCCAGUUCGGAUUGCUCUCUGCAACUCGAGAGCAUGAAGCCGGAAUCGCUAGUAAUCGUAGAUCAGCCAUGCUACGGUGAAUACGUUCCCGGGUCUUGUACUCACCGCCCGUCACACCAUGGGAGUUGAUUUCACUCGAAGCCGGAAUACUAAACUAGUUACCGUCCACAGUGGAAUCAGCGACUGGGGUG